AUUGAACGCUGGCGGCAGGCUUAACACAUGCAAGUCGAGCGAGCGGCGGACGGGUGAGUAAUGUCUGGGAAACUGCCUGAUGGAGGGGGAUAACUACUGGAAACGGUAGCUAAUACCGCAUACCAUCAGAUGUGCCCAGAUGGGAUUAGCUGGUAGGUGGGGUAAUGGCUCACCUAGGCGACGAUCCCUAGCUGGUCUGAGAGGAUGACCAGCCCAACUGGAACUGGGACACGGUCAAUCCUCUGACGGGAGGCAGCGGGGGGGAAAAUGGCACAUGGGGCGAAAGCCUGACGCAGCCAUGCCGCGUGUGUGAGGAAGGCCUUCGGGUUGUAAAGCACUUUCAGCGAGGAGGCGUUACGCGCAGAAGAAGCACCGGCUAACUCCGUGCCAGCCGCCGCGGUAAUUC
rnacentral:rRNA from 1 species